AUUGGUGGCGCGCCUGUUACUUGUACAACAAACAAAACUGUGGAUGACUACGAAUCAAGCUGGCUUCAUCGUAUUGGUGAUGGAGCGUAUAUUCCUAGGGUUUCAAAAUUGUACAAGUCCAGUGUGGAGACUGUUGCGGCUAACCAAUGUAAUGGUUACGAUGGUGUCGAGAAGACCCCAGAAGAACUGAAGAGGGAGAUGGACAGGAAGAGGUAUGCUAACAUGUCUGCUGAGGCUAAGAAGGAAAAGAUCUCUAAGAUUAUCGUGACUCGUAAUCUUAACAAUAUCAUGCGGUCUGGAAACAUGAAUGAUGGAGGUAAUUAUGUUUAUUUAUUUUUAGUUCUUACACCCGAGUUGAUUAAUUUUUUAAUUAAUCUAGAAUGGGUUUUAUAGAUUCAGUUCUUACACCAAUUGGAUCUAUUCAAUCUGUAUUGACCAAUCUUCCUAUCACCCGAAGUGCAUCGAAAGGUCAGUGAAAUUAUAUUUUUGUUUAAGUAAUCUUUAAUAAACUAAUACGUUGCCAUGAUGCAAUCAUGCAUUAGGUAUACCAUUGGGGAAUUCAAAUGAAUGUGCAACUUAUGAUUCUGGUAUUUGGGAUCCUGACGAGGCUCCCGACGCUCUAGAAGAAGAAGAUUUGGACUGUAGACAACCUGAUGGCAACAAACAGACAUGUUAUGAAGAUGACGAGGCCAGGGUAUUCCACGAACCAGAUGUACAAUACAAGACUUAUUGGGACCCUGAUGUAAUCCCUAUAGACAUUGAUGCGUAUGAUGCAGUCUAUAAGAACCUGCCUAUUAGGCACUUUGUGUUACGCAAGGUUCCAAUGUGUGAGUACUGUGGAGCAAAAAGGUUUCCUGGGGAAGGUCCUGGAUUUUGUUGCAAGAAGGGCAAGGUUAACAUAUUUAGUGCCCCAAUUCCCGAUGAGCUACGUCGUCUGUUCACAAGCCAGACCGAUAGCGACGCGAGAUACUUUCGAAAAAACAUUCAAUACUUUAACUCACAUUUCUCUUUCACCAGCUUUGGGGCUUCUGGUGAUCAAUGGCUGGCC